rnacentral:lncRNA from 1 species
GACCCAUUUCUCCCCCAAACAGAACUGAAUCCAGAGGCUUCCUGGGAGGUGAUAAUAUUGUUAGUGGGACCACUAUUUUUCUGUGGCUCAGGACACAAGAGUUAAUUACAAGUUUCCAUUAUGGUCUUCCUUAUGUUCCUGCCAGAGAGCGAACAGAUCUUUUUCCAUUAGCAAUUUCCCCUGAAAUUCCCCUGUUUUCCUGAUUCUGUUGAUAAGACAGAAUCACACAAUUCCAUCUGGUCCUACAUCUGCUUGUCCCCAUCUGUGUGUCCCUGAAGUGGGAAUAGUCUUGCUCUCUGCAGAGCUUUCUACGGCUGGCCCUGUAGAUGUGGCACAGGAGACCUCACCUUGGGUUGGCCUGCUUGGGAUUUGCUGAGGAACUUGUGCUGCCCACCUACAGAAAUGUGAAUUUGUUCAUUUCUCAUUGCCUCCUACGCUUGAGGACUCUUUGCUCUGUGCAUGGCAAGUACAAGAAAUAUGUGGACAAGAAUAUGAAUUUAUGAUUAAUGCAAGUGCUUGAAAAACAUGAUGCCUCAGUUGCAGAAAUGAGACUGGCCUCUGUGACCCUGGGCCUCUGAUUCAGGUAAUUCAUUAGUUUGGAAGCUAAGUCAAACUGGUUUAAAUAAUAGAAAGAAUUUGCUGGGGCACAUGCUGAAAGAUCAGAUAAUUA